AUUACCAAGCAAGCUCACUAGAAAGCCAGCCGCAAGCAAUGUUGAAACAGAAAGUGGACAGUGAGAACAGGUGUUUUCAAGACAGGAUUCAGAGUAGGCCUGCAGAUACAAUAUGCCAGAAAAAAGAAUGAUGCAGUGGACUCUUUUCAUGUCAGUGUCCAACCCAAACAGGGAGGAUCGUUGCUGCUUUGCCUUCUUACUGCACAGGGCAAUAAAAGUUUUCUUUGGCUAAA